CGUAGGGUGCGAGCGUUAAUCGGAAUUACUGGGCGUAAAGCGUGCGCAGGCGGUUAUAUAAGACAGUUGCGAAAUCCCCGGGCUUAACCUGGGAAUGGCGCUUGUGACUGCACGACUGGAGUGCGGCAGAGGGGGAUGGAAUUCCGCGUGUAGCAGUGAAAUGCGUAGAUAUGCGGAGGAACACCGAUGGCGAAGGCAGUCCCCUGGGCCUGCACUGACGCUCAUGCACGAAAGCGUGGGGAGCAAACAGGAUUAGAUACCCUGGUAGUCAAGGGCG
rnacentral:rRNA from 1 species